ACAGCCUAACACUCCAACUUGGUUCCUCUCUGCUCCACAUACUAGGAUCAGCAGGCUUAUCUUGGAAAGACUCCUUGGAAAGAUAAGUAAGUUUAUCUUGGAAAGAGUCCAGCAGAGAAUUCCGGCCCUACCCCAACACCCUGAUACAGUAUACACGAGGAGCCAUAACUCCUGAUCCAGGAAUCAUUUCUGCAGCAAUCACCCUGGGUGGCAGAGCUGGCUGUCCAGAUGGCUGGGAUUGUAUUUCAAGAACAUGUCACUUUCUAAAGAGAACUCCAGCUUGUUGUAGAAUUUCUGGUGCACCCCUGCAGCCACUGAGCCUUUGGAGAUGAAGCUUCAAGGCUAGAGGCAACUCUGGAAGCCUGAGCAUGAUUACAUUGUUGAAUAAAACACAGAGACAACAACUUUAAUUAUUAUGAAGAUGCAUCACUCUUAUACAAUAUUCAACAUUAGUUAAAUCCAAUUACAAUCACCCAGCAUCCAGCGAUCUUCUUCAAAGCCAUUUCCACAAGGUAACAAAUGAGCCAUCUUGCAAACUCAUCAAAAGAAAGGAAAAGCCUUCUUGUGGUCAGCUGAGCCUCAAACCUGCUGUCAAGAAGGUAAACUGGAUACUGGAUGGAGGGCCCUGAGGGAGAGGAGGAGGGACAAUCAAGAGCUAGAAGUGAAUACUCCGAAGGUUCUGAGGAGCUGAGAACGGUGGUGCAGGAAGACAUAGAGCAGGAAGACAGCACCAGCUCUGAGCCUGGCCAGCCUGGUCUACAAGUUCUAGGACACCCAAGGCUACUCUGAGUAACCUUGUCUCAAAAGGAAGGAGGAGAAGGAGGAACUUCAUACUCACCAUACAUAUUCUGGGUGCUGUCUUAACACUUUGUGGAUUUUGACUUAUGAUUCUCAUAAUGUUCUAAUGACAACAGAAGAGAAGAAACACAAGCUCGACUCAUGUGUCCUAGAUUCCACAGCACCUCCAGCUUUGCUUCCUAGGGGCAGGACUAUCAGCAACACCUCACCAAAAGGAAAUGGACCCUGAACUAAGUAUCUCUGCAGCCAGAUUUUCCUGUGUGUUCUGGGAAAGAGGAACAAAAUGAGACGAUGAGAAAGUCGGUUUGCAUUUCCCCAGUUGCUUCACCUUAGAUGAGUGUUACAGACAAGUCCCGGUGUAUACACUUUCUUGGGGCAACAGGGAUGGGAGGGCUUAUUAAACUGUGAUUGGAUCUGAAGUAUGUGCCAUUUCUAUCAUGAAGUCAUCAGACAGUAAGUGAACAAAGAGGAAGAUAACAGGCAUCCGGAGUGUUUGCUCAAGCAUAAAGAAGGGUCCCAAAUAUCCAUAGUGAUUGUCCCCCAUUGGAUUUGUGCCACAUCUUAUGUCAGUGAGUCACUUCUGCUUACUGAACCAUGAACCACAAAGUGCCCCUAGUCACUGGAACAACCCUGUUUGACUGCCUGGAGGACUGUUUCUGGGGUGGAAUUCGAGAUGCUUCAGGCAUCAUCAAUUAAAGAAGCAACACAAACCUGGACAUGGGGUCUCUGAGGGCAGUGGGACUAUAGGUGAUAUGGUUGCAU